rnacentral:misc_RNA from 1 species
UCGCUCUAACCACCCCUGCCCGCGCUCCCUCCCCCGUGCCGAGGCAACCAACGAGCCGGGGCCGCUUUCGCUUUGUGCGCGCCGGGGCGGCGGUACAUCAAAGCCUUCUAGUUCCCGCUCCGGCCUUUGACGGUCGCGUCGCGGCCGCUCGCUCAGUCAUCGCUCGGUUGUAGGCGAUGCCGGCGCGCCGUGCAUGAGCUCGCUCGCUCUCUGGCGCGCGCGCGCGCGUCCGCACGAGGAGCGCGAGCUCCUCGGGAAUCGUCGCCGCGAAUUCCGCCGUUCACCGCGUCCGUCCGCCGAUCGGCAUCGGCGGGGGGCGGCCUCCCGACGCCGGCCGAUCACCAGCUACCUUAGCCCCGUGUGUUCGCCUGCUCUGCAGCACCACCACCAGCAGCGAAUCGGAGCGUGGAUUUCGAGCGGGUGAGAGAGAGAGAGGGAGAGAGAGAGAAGAGAGAGAGAGAGAGAGAAAGAGAGAGAGAGAGAGAGUCGGCGCGCGAUGUCGCCUCGAGGUGGCAAGUGCGCGCGUGUCGGCAAGGUGGCCACCAAGGGGCGCCAAACGCGCGCUCAGCACGCCUCCUUGGACACCGUGCAGCAAGUCGAAGGAGCAACGACCACGAUAACGCCAACCACAACGACAACGACGACGACGACGACGACGACGAUGAUACGAAGCACGGUGACGACAACCGCGAACGCGACCACGACGAUGGCGACGUCGACGUUGAUGACGUCAAGCGGAACGGCAGUCGCGACGACGAGAAUGGACAAGCCCGCGGUAAGCACGGCGUGCGAGGGUCGAUCGCAAUGGUCAGGGCGCAUGCGCCAGUCCCUGGAGAGCAGCUCCGAGCCCCGUGAAAACGGUACCCCGGUGGUGCAUCGUUACCCGGAGAGGCAGCGACGACGAGAGAGACACGCGACCGGGAGGAAACAUCGAACGACGCGCAACAACGAGAACGCCACCGCGGUGGCCGCCGGAUCCUCGUGCUCGUCCACGUCCUUGUCGUCGCCACUGGCGCUCUCCUCGCCGUCUUCCUGCGCGUCGUCUCGCCGCUCGACCUCGCCGCCAUCCAGCACCUCUUCGCCGGCACGGUCCUACAGCUCGACCGCGUCCACGGCCGCGAGCGAUCCGUUGGCGAUCAAGGCGGAGGACGUGCGGAUCAGCAUCGAUCACGGCGACCAAGGGAUCGGCAAGCGGGAGGUGGGCGCGAGCCAAGAUCCGGAGGAGGAGGAGGAGGAGGAGAAGACCAACGGACAGGACAACAACAGGGUUCAUGGAGCUGCGGAAACAUCGACCACACCAUCGGUGCCAGCCUCGUCCACCGUCGUGUCCUCCUCGUCGUCACCUUUCCCCUCCCCGGUGUCCACGUCGUCGACGUCCUGCCGGACGUCGACGCCGCGCGGUUACUGCGACGUCGCGCACGCGUCCUCGUCUGCCCUCGAGAGGCUGAGGAACACCCUGGAGAGCUACGACCGCAGCCGUAUCUACCUAGCCCACGUCUGCUACUUGGACUGGCGGGACCUGCCAGGUAAACGGCGUGGCGCCGGUGUCGGCGGCGUCAACGCCAGCAGCCGCGACACGAGGAGCGAGCGGGUGUGGGUGGUGGGGGCCGCGGAUCACGAGGGUCACCAUCGGACGCGGUUGUUGGUGGCCGGUCGUCAUUGGCGGCCACGUUGCCUGCGGAAGGUCAACAUGCUGAGCCAACCGGUGGUGUACGCCGGCGGCGGCAGGGGUUCCCUGACCGCCGAUCUCUUCCUCUGGUGGUUCCACCGCGAGUUCGCCGUCACGGCAAUGGCGAUGCACCCGGACGGCGCCGUCUUGGUGGCCGAGAGCGCCGAUUACCUGCCGCCAGAGGGUGACUGCGUCGCCGCGGACGGCUUGGUGCGGCUGUUUGUGGUGCCCAAGGACUGCAUGGAGACGCGACUGGUGGUCCGCGAGCUCAGGGUGCGCUUGGCCACCGGUGUGCUCUCGAGGGCGCGUUGCGGCGUCUUUCGCGAUAACAAUGCCGCCGCCGCCGCCGCUGCUGCCGCUGCCGCCGCGGUCAACUCCGGCCCCGAAGAGGCCGAUCACAACCGAUUGGACGCGUAUCUCAGGAGGUUCACGCUCAAGGAGGCGUUCGCGGACCUCCAUCGCGCUUGGCUCAGCGUCCGCUCGGAAACGUUCGCUCGCAGCUGGACGCUACCGCGCGACCGCGAGGAUCACUCGCUCGCGGGAUGCUCCAGCAACGGCGCCAUCUUGGCGCCGCGGAUCUACAUGGUGGAUCAAGAGGAGGACAGGAUGUUGUUGGUCGAGUUACAGAGCCUAGCGCGGGAGGCCGGCCUCGAGGUCGGCGACGAGGAACUCAGUAGAUGGAUCGUCGACGAGGAGAGCGCGCUGGCGCGUUUGGUCAGGGAGAGGGAACAGGACGAGGAACAGCAGCAGCAACAGCAGCAGCAGCAGCAGCAGCAACAACAGUGUCGCGUGAAGGUAGAAUUCGAGGACAGGUGGUCGGAUCGCAAUGGCGACGACGACGAAGACGGCAACGACGGUACCGCCGACGACGACGACGCUGAAGACGAACCCACCGCCGAGGAAGCCGUCGGGCUACUCUCGAGGGUACUGACCUGGAUGGAGAGGGAACCCCUCGAUCCGGGACUCCUGCUGGCGGUCAGAUCGAUGCGCGAUACCGCCGCACUUAUGGCGAGCAAGAUGGGCCUGGCGGGGACGCAUCCGAGCGGGCUUCCCUUCUUCUGCCCGAACGGGGACCACCUGACGCAACCUCCGCCUGCUCACAUGGGCAUACCGCCGUAUGCGCCACUGGACGCGGGCAAAGCAGCCGCCGCGGCCGGUGAGUACUACUGGCCAUCAGUCAGCCAAGGGCAGCUACCCGAGCAGCCCUGGAAACAUCUUCUAACCGCAGCAGCCUCCACAGGUCUCUCGAGGGCGCCGAUGUACCCGUUUUCGACAAGCCAGUAUCCGUAUCCCAUGCUUAGUCCGGAAAUGACGCAAGUCGCCGCUUCCUGGCACACACCGAGCAUGUACCCCAUCUCGCCGGCGAACGCCGGCUUCCGGAGUCCGUACCCCACGAGUUUACCCAUCACCAGUUCCAGCUUAUCAAGUGAUCUCUACCGGUUUUCGCCGACCGGCCUGAUGCCCCCGCACCCAGGACUAAGUCCGCACGCACACGCGCUGGCAUCGCACGCGCUGGUAUCGUCGGCGCCGAAGGCGGAUCACUCCACCUUGGAUCACAAUCACAGGUCUACGAUAGAACAGAAAAACUCCACGUCGUUGCCUACGGACAACGCGAAAGCUCAGGACACGGGCCAGCAAAACAAUCAAGAUAAAAAGAAACCCCAUAUAAAAAAGCCUUUGAACGCGUUUAUGCUGUACAUGAAGGAGAUGAGGGCGAAGGUGGUAGCAGAAUGUACCUUAAAAGAGAGUGCCGCAAUCAACCAAAUAUUGGGAAGACGAUGGCACUCGCUAAGCCGGGAGGAGCAGGCGCGGUAUUAUGAGGCAGCCAGGCAGGAGCGCCAUCUGCACCAGCAACGAUACCCCGGCUGGAGUGCCAGGGAUAACUACGGAUAUGGCAGCAAGAAGAAGAAGAGGAAGAAAGAGCGCUCCGCAGAUCCCACCGGAGUGGCACGCGCUAGGGCGAGAGGAACAGGCCAAGUAUUAUGAGUUGGCGCGACGGGAGAGACAGUUGCACAUGCAGCUGUACCCUGACUGGUCUUCCCGCGCAAAUACCAACCGAACUAAGAAGAGGAAGCGCAAACAAGACACAAACAGUGAUCCUGGAGGUAACAACAUGAAGAAGUGCCGCGCCAGGUACGGAUUAGACCAGCAAAACCAAUGGUGCAAACCCUGCA